rnacentral:rRNA from 1 species
AUGAACGCUGGCGGCGUGCCUAAUACAUGCAAGUCGAGCGAACAGACGAGGAGCUUGCUCCUCUGACGUUAGCGGCGGACGGGUGAGUAACACGUGGAUAACCUACCUAUAAGACUGGGAUAACUUCGGGAAACCGGAGCUAAUACCGGAUAAUAUAUUUAACCGCAUGGUUCAAUAGUGAAGGACGGUUUUGCUGUCACUUAUAGAUGGAUCCGCGCCGCAUUAGCUAGUUGGUAAGGUAACGGCUUACCAAGGCGACGAUGCGUAGCCGACCUGAGAGGGUGAUCGGCCACACUGGAACUGAGACACGGUCCAGACUCCUACGGGAGGCAGCAGUAGGGAAUCUUCCGCAAUGGGCGAAAGCCUGACGGAGCAACGCCGCGUGAGUGAUGAAGGUCUUCGGAUCGUAAAACUCUGUUAUUAGGGAAGAACAAAUGUGUAAGUAACUAUGCACGUCUUGACGGUACCUAGUCAGAAAGCCACGGCUAACUACGUG